GAUCGACGUACAUUAUGCAUAAGGUUGGGAACGCAUCUCACAAACAGUAAAAGAGAAAUUUACAUCCAUCUUUUCGCCUAAUAUAGUGUAUCUAUAAAAUUGUGGUGAGCCGAAUUUUCAUUACUUUUCGUCAGGAACACCCCAGUUGUGUAAUCUAUGGUUGUCUGGUUGUCUGUCUGCCGAUUUACUCGAUAUGUAGUCUAUGAGUCCUGUUUGCGCAUGCGUUUUUCACAGAAUAUGGGCAUUUGUGGUAUCAA